rnacentral:rRNA from 1 species
UGGCGGCGUGCCUAUUACAUGCAAGUCGAGCGGACAGAAGGGAGCUUGCUCCCGGAUGUUAGCGGCGGACGGGUGAGUAACACGUGGGUAACCUGCCUGUAAGACUGGGAUAACUCCGGGAAACCGGAGCUAAUACCGGAUAGUUCCUUGAACCGCAUGGUUCAAGGAUGAAAGACGGUUUCGGCUGUCACUUACAGAUGGACCCGCGGCGCAUUAGCUAGUUGGUGGGGUAAUGGCUCACCAAGGCGACGAUGCGUAGCCGACCUGAGAGGGUGAUCGGCCACACUGGGACUGAGACACGGCCCAGACUCCUACGGGAGGCAGCAGUAGGGAAUCUUCCGCAAUGGACGAAAGUCUGACGGAGCAACGCCGCGUGAGUGAUGAAGGUUUUCGGAUCGUAAAGCUCUGUUGUUAGGGAAGAACAAGUGCGAGAGUAACUGCUCGCACCUUGACGGUACCUAACCAGAAAGCCACGGCUAACUACGUGCCAGCAGCCGCGGUAAUACGUAUGUGGCAGCGUUGUCAAAAAUUAUUGGGCGUAAAGGGGUCGGAGGCGGUUUCUUAAUUCUGAUGGAAACCCCCCGGCUCACCGGGGAGGGUUUGGAAUUGGAA